UGGCUGCUGUGAUCAUUGAUUUGGUUUCUCCCCUUUUCUCUGCACCAGGGCCAGGAACUGUUUGAGCAGAAGUUUCACCCUUCCUGAGGUUUCAGAAGAUCUGGGAUAAAGCCUGUCCCUCCUGAGUAUGGUGGCUGGGGGUGAAUUUUAUUUUGGAUUGGAGACUGUGAGCUCAAGGGCAUCUUCACUGUGCUGAACAUCUGUUGUGCCUCCUGCCUUGCCUCCAUAGCCCUUCUUCCUAUGUUGGCAUCUACAGUUGGCCAUCCCUCUGGCGGACCCCAGAGAUGCCCAACUCCUGGUCUGCCCAGUGCUGUGUGUUUCCCUUUCCUGUUGAGUAGGACUGAGCUGUGCAACCAACAGGACAUGGCAGAAGGGAGUUUGUGUGACUCUGAGGCGAGAGCAUCAAGAGCCCUGAGGCUCCACCUUGUUCCUUGGGGGCCGCUUACUCCGAGGAAGCCAGCCACCAUGUUGUCGGCAUGCUCAAGCAGCCUUGUGAAGAGGCCUGGGUGGAGAGGGCCCAGCAGCCAGCACCAACGAACCUUCUCUGAGAGAGAGAAGGUCAGAAGUGGCUCCUCUAGCCCCACUGAGCCUUCAGAUGACCGGAGCUCUGGCCAACAGCUGGACUGCACCUACAUGAGAGGCCCAGAGCCAGAACUUCCCGGCUAUGCUACUCCUGAGUUCCUGACCCACAGAAGCUCUGUGAGAUGAUAACUGCUUCCUACUCUUUGGAGAAAAAUCACUACUUAGAAAUAGAUAACUAAGAAAAGCAGCUCUGUGCUCAUGCACCUGCCACAGGAAGUUCCUGUCCCAGACCGGAAGCAAGUGUCUGCAGACACCUGCCUGCCUUGGUCUGGAAGCUGCACCCUUCGAGGUACAUCCUAGGGUGAGAAGAAGGUAUCAGUCCCAGGAGAAAGAGACGGGCAGCAGGGCGGGGUGAAGAUGCAGUCUUUGCCAUUGGCAGUGCCCUGGAGGUGACAAGCCCCAUUCUGGAGAGGGGGCUGUGUGGCUCUUAACAGGAGGCAGUGUCACAGAAAUCCUUGAGCCAGCUCAGUGAGGACCCAAUGGAGCUGCCCAUCUUCAGGGGACAUUUUGGGUUUUUAAGGGCUGUGACCUGCAGGAUUUAACAGUGGUACCAGAUGUUGGGAACACCACAGGCCCCCAUGUGUCACUCUGUGUAAUGUCCUGGGACCUUGGGGUCCUCGCCAAGGACAGAAUUUGAAUUUCUCUCCAGUCCGGUAUGACAUCAUACUUACAGUAAUUGAUUUAGGAAUGCGUGACAUUUCUUUUACACCUAAGUAUAUGGAAUAAGGUUGAAAUGUCAGCUCCCUGGUGACAGGAACCUUUUUUAUUGUUGUUGUUGUUUUGACCAUUAUCGUGUUACAGAGCCUUGCAUAUUUCUUGACACACAGUAGGUACACUAUAAAUAUUAGUGCCUAAAGCCACAGAAGAAAAUAAUAAUUUACUGAGUACUUACUAAAAUGCUAGAGAAAUUUCCCUUAGAU